rnacentral:rRNA from 1 species
AGUGAACGCUGGCGGUAGGCCUAACACAUGCAAGUCGAACGGCAGCACAGUAAGAGCUUGCUCUUACGGGUGGCGAGUGGCGGACGGGUGAGGAAUACAUCGGAAUCUACUUUUUCGUGGGGGAUAACGUAGGGAAACUUACGCUAAUACCGCAUACGACCUACGGGUGAAAGCAGGGGAUCUUCGGACCUUGGGCGAUUGAAUGAGCCGAUGUCGGAUUAGCUAGUUGGCGGGGUAAAGGCCCACCAAGGCGACGAUCCGUAGCUGGUCUGAGAGGAUGAUCAGCCACACUGGAACUGAGACACGGUCCAGACUCCUACGGGAGGCAGCAGUGGGGAAUAUUGGACAAUGGGCGCAAGCCUGAUCCAGCCAUACCGCGUGGGUGAAGAAGGCCUUCGUGUUGUAAAGCCCUUUUGUUGGGAAAGAAAAGCAGCAGGUUAAUACCCCGCUGUUCUGACGGUACCCAAAGAAUAAGCACCGGCUAACUUCGUG